rnacentral:rRNA from 1 species
CCCUUAGAUGUUCUGGGCUGCACGCGCGCUACACUGAAGCGUUCAACGAGUAUUCACCUUGCCCGGGAGGGUUGGGUAAUCUUUUGAAAACGCUUCGUGAUGGGGAUAGAUUAUUGCAAUUAUUAAUCUUCAACGAGGAAUUCCUAGUAAGCGCGAGUCAUCAGCUUGCAUUGAUUACGUCCCUGCCCUUUGUACACACCGCCCGUCGCACCUACCGAUUGAAUGGUCCGGUGAAAUCUCGGGACGGCGGCUUGGUCGCUUGCGUCCGACUGCUGAAACUUGAUUAAACCAUAUCAUUUAGAGGAAGGUGAANUCGUANCA